rnacentral:snRNA from 1 species
GCUUGUGAGGGCAAUCUGGCUGUAACAUCUGUCAUGGGACCGAUUGCCAGUGUUGAUUUGGCUGAUUGGCUGGCUAGGCAGUGUCCCCUUCCUCCAUCAAUGCUCCAUAUGCAUGUGUCCCUCAUGAAGCUCCACCAUUGGAGGAGGAUGACCUUAGAGGAUGACCAUUCCUCUGUCCAGGAUAUACAAGUACCUGCGCUCCCCUGCUAUAACCUUCAAAGAAGCUUUCCAGGUCCACGUUUGUGUGUUCUCACUCCUGAAUUCUCACUCCUGAAUUCCAAAGUUUAUAUCCAGUACUUACUGGACCUGCUAA